GAACCAUCAAUGAAACAAAUUUUAUUCUUAGCAGACAAAGCCAUAAUCAUCUUACGUUUCAAACCUCCAUAACCACUACCCGAGAAGGGUGUGGGAACAAGGGACGCACCAGGCACAUCAGAAGAAUUUACAAACAAAGGUUGGAAGGGUCUAUAGAACCAGAGUUACCACCAGAACCACUACUGUUAGAAGCCAUGUUCA
rnacentral:lncRNA from 1 species